rnacentral:lncRNA from 1 species
UCAUGUUUUUUGGAUGGGAUUAGUUACUUUUCGGUGGCUUUUUAGAAAUCAUAAAUACAAGCUUUUGACCUGUGGUCAAAACAACCCAUCAUAAGCCAGCACUUAAACCGUGCAGUAUUUAUCUUUAAGUGAUAGUCAUUUCCCACACUCUGUAAACAUAAAAAAGCUUUAAAAGUCACAGUUAUACCGCAAAAUAAGUGAAGUCAAUCCUUUGUUAACUUAUGGUGGUAAAGUCAUACAUUUGGGAAAUGGAAUUAAUUACUUAGCAGGUGAUUUCUAUCUAAUUUCCAAGCUUUAGGAAGUAGAGUGUGGGCCCCACACACAUGUGCAGUCACACAUGCCUAAAUCUAGAUGCAGCUCUUGUUCGUAGUCUCAAGGUGAGUUUAAAUGAGUAGAAAAAUAGGGACACAAACAAUGGGAAUUACAAUAAAUAUGUCUGGGAUCAAGCCAUGAGCAUAGUUUCAGAAUCGGCCCUGGAGGGCACACCCUAAAUGUGUAAUGGCCCCAAUUCCCUCUCUCAGUGCCACACUGUGCUUUCCACUCCUGCCCUGGAUCCCUAGCCCUCCACCACUAUUCCUGCCAAAAUUGAUUAUAGAUGGAGUCAAGGUGGGACUCAGCUCAGGGCACUCAGUCUGUUCUCUCCACUCCACAGAUUCAGGCUGCUGAGAGGAAGACAGCUUUUAUAGUGUUCCCACCCUGACCAUCCACAGCAACAAUGUCUCUUUGUUGCUGGGCAAUCAUUUGUAUGUCUGGGGCAUGCUUAUGACAUCACUUGUGAGCCCUGUAGCAGUAGCCUGCUCUGCCCCAGUCUUUCCAAUUGCUGCCACCAGACAGGGGAUGAAUGCUGUAAUUCCCAGCGAUCCACUCCACCCACACAAAUCUGAGUUAAAGAAGAAGAAAAGAAAUAAGAAAGGAGUAAGAGAUGGAUCUCUCAGACGAUGGAGAACAGAGAGGGACAGGCAUGCAAGCAAGCAAGCAAGUAAGCAAGCAGCAGCAGCUGAUUAACAGAGGCAGGAAACACACUUAUCAAGGAGAGGAAGAGGAGAGGGCUUGUCUCAAAUCUUAAAAGGUGGAGGAAAAAAACUUUGUUAAUUGUUUAGUGCUGAAAGAUAGUCACCUUAGCCAAAGGAAGGUUCCUCCCACCUAUUGUCGUUUAGUCGUUUAGUCGUGUCCGACUCUUCGUGACCCCAUGGACCAGAGCACGCCAGGCCCUCCUAUCUUCCACUGCCUCCCGGAGUUGGGUCAAAUUCAUUCUGGUAGCUUCGAUGACAGUGUCCAACUUCCCACCUAUUGCUAAACAACGUGUGAGAUUGUUAAUUUUCCAAUAAUUUGAAGCAGGGAUACCCAAAGUGAUUUUGUGGACAGAGUGAUGGACUCAGGAGGCCUGAGUUCGAAUCUCUACUCACCCAUGGAAACUCAUAGGGAGUGUGGUACUGGUAAAGCCAUUCCUUAAAUAUCUCACUUACUUUGAAAGCCUCUUAGGGUUGCUAUAAGUUGUUUCCAACUUAUUGAUGCAUAACAACGGUAAUUUGAAGGAGGACUUGGUAUCCCCAGAGCUCUGGGGGCUGUACACAUCCAUCUCUGGCCCAUGGAAGGCGGCAUCUUCUCCUACAACUCCACGUCACUUUUCCCCCCAAGAAUUUUAUUUUAUUUUUAUUUUUACUAAAAAGACUCCUUGUACCUUCUAGUAUUAAUUUUUUUUAGAAAAAUGUAAAACAAAUUAGGGGGAUGAUGUACUGGAGCCCUUCAAGACAUAGCAGAAUCAUUUUUCACAUUGCAUAAGGGGACUUUUUGAGUAAAAAUAUUCUGAUUUUUGUUUCAAAUUUGAGCCUGGGGUAAAAUUUCAAAAAGUGAAACUACAUUGUGGAGGGAAGUAGAGGAUUUAAUCCAUCUCUAGAAUUCAUUGGGAAUGUUGGAAAACAACAGCCUCCUUUGCCAAAUGAAGCUUGGAAAUAAUUUGGUCUAAAUUUUCUUCAGCUCUAUUUUAGAUACUAUAAAUCUGGAUUCAACUGACUUUUUUUUUUAACCUGGUGUAACAUCUAAAUUUGAUCUCCAGUUUUAUUUAUUUUAUUUUAUUUUAUUUAUUAAUUAAAUUUAUAUCCCACCCCUCUAGACCAGGUCUACUCGGGGCAGCUUACAGCAUAAAAUAAGACAAUAUAAAAUAUAGAUAACCAUAAAAAUACAAUUGGUAUAUUAGUUAAUACAAUUAAUUUAGGAAAUAAUUGCCAAUAGGAUAAGAUGGGAAAAAUAAAAAUAAAAGACUUAGCUGACUUUGCUGAUAU